UACGUGGGGGGCAAGCGUUGUUCGGAAUUACUGGGCGUAAAGGGCUCGUAGGCGGCCAACCAAGUCAGACGUGAAAUCCCUCGGCUUAACCGGGGAACUGCGUCUGAUACUGGAUGGCUUGAGUGUGGGAGAGGGAUGCGGAAUUCCAGGUGUAGCGGUGAAAUGCGUAGAUAUCUGGAGGAACACCGGUGGCGAAGGCGGCAUCCUGGACCAUUACUGACACUGAAUAGCGAAAGCCAGGGGAGCAAACGGG
rnacentral:rRNA from 1 species